AAAGCGAAAGUCUAUACAGAUUUCAUGCCCCUUGUCUAUACAAAUUUAUCUGCCGUAAACCGUCUGACAGAACGAUUUUCAGCAAAAACAUCCGGAAAAUGGCCGCCAGCCGAUGUUUUCAACUAGACGAGUAUGAAAGGGAAUACAGUGUUAGAUAUCAUCGAGGAUAUGUGACCAAAGGGUUUCAGAAGUCUUGAGAGAUGUAUGCAGAUCAAACCCAUCAAGUAAGCCAACACCAUGUCUACAAGGUCAUACCUCUAGAACCUCUGACACCUGUAUAGCUGAGGACAAAUCUAAAAGUGGACAGAGGGAUAGUAUGAAUGCUUCAGUGAAAUUAAGGAGCUCAGGUUCUAACAAGCGUAGUAGAGCAGUGCAACACAGAGGUACUCCGAUGUGCAAUUUUACAAGUUUUUUCCAGACAGUGAUUACAGCGAGGCUUGAAGACUAUUGUACACAAUUUCUUAACAAAUCCAAAACAAAGCCGCGUAACAUUCAACUAAGUGAUUCAAAGAAAA